rnacentral:rRNA from 1 species
GGACGACGCUGGCGGCGUGGAUUAGGCAUGCAAGUCGGACGGUAGAGCUUUAUCGUAAGAUAGAGUUUGAGAGUGGCGAACGGGUGAGUAACACGUAGGAAUCUACCCUUAAGACGGGGACAACCCAGGGAAACUUGGGCUAAUACCGGAUGAGAGUGCGAGAGAUUGCAUUUAAAAGGAUGGCGAAAGUUGUCGCUUAGGGAUGAGCCUGCGGUCUAUUAGUUAGUUGGUGAGGUAAGAGCCCACCAAGGCGAUGAUAGAUAGGCGGCCUUAACGGGUGGUCGCCCACACUGGGAUUGAGAUACGGCCCAGACUCCUACGGGAGGCAGCAGUCGAGAAUAGUCUACAAUGGCCGGAAGGCUGAUAGUGCGACGCCGCGUGAACGAGGGAGCCCUUCGGGGUGUAAAGUUCUUUUCUAUACGAGCAGUGCUAUAUAUAUGGAUAGUAUAUAUAGAGGGAUAGUAGUAUAGGAAUAAGCAACGGCUAACUCCGUG